UGGUCAUUUUCCUCCUGAGAACAGAG
rnacentral:misc_RNA from 1 species